rnacentral:rRNA from 1 species
AGAUUGAACGCUGGCGGCAGGCCUAACACGUGCAAGUCGAGCGGCAGCACGGGUACUUGUACCUGGUGGCGAGCGGCGGACGGGUGAGUAAUGCCUAGGAAUCUGCCUAGUGGUGGGGGAUAACGUUCGGAAACGGACGCUAAUACCGCAUACGUCCUACGGGAGAAAGCGGGGGACCUUCGGGCCUCGCGCCAUUAGAUGAGCCUAGGUCGGAUUAGCUAGUUGGUGAGGUAAUGGCUCACCAAGGCGACGAUCCGUAACUGGUCUGAGAGGAUGAUCAGUCACACUGGAACUGAGACACGGUCCAGACUCCUACGGGAGCAGCAGUGGGGAAUAUUGGACAAGUGGGACGAAAGCCUGAUCCGAG